AACGAACGCUGGCGGCAGGCUUAACACAUGCAAGUCGAACGGGCUAGCAAUAGUCAGUGGCGCACGGGUGCGUAACACGUGGGUAAUCAACCCUUCAGCUCGGGAUAACGCCUUGAAAGGGGCGCUAAUACCGGAUGCGACGCGAGGAGCCUCGGCGCUUCGCGGGAAAGAUUCGCAAGGAUCACUGAAGGACGAGCCUGCGGCCCAUCAGCUAGUUGGUGAGGUAAGAGCUCACCAAGGCGAAGACGGGUAGCUGGUCUGAGAGGAUGAUCAGCCACACUGGAACUGAGACACGGUCCAGACUCCUACGGGAGGCAGCAGUGGGGAAUAUUGCGCAAUGGGCGAAAGCCUGACGCAGCCACGCCGCGUGAGCGAUGAAGGCCUUCGGUCGGUAAGACUCUGUGGGAGGAGAAGAAUAAGACCUGUGAAGAA
rnacentral:rRNA from 1 species